GCCUAUGAUGUUUUAAUCCAUAUUAGUGAGGUGUAGUGGAGCCAAGUCCCUGCAUUGCAGGGGGAACCUCCUUGGUGAAGCUAUAUUCCAUAAGAUCAUACUGGAAAUUUUCUGAGGC